rnacentral:rRNA from 1 species
UACGAAGGGGGCUAGCGUUGUUCGGAAUCACUGGGCGUAAAGCGCACGUAGGCGGAUUUUUAAGUCAGGGGUGAAAUCCCGAGGCUCAACCUCGGAACUGCCUUUGAUACUGGGGAUCUGGAGUCCGGGAGAGGUGAGCGGAACUGCGAGUGUAGAGGUGAAAUUCGUAGAUAUUCGGAAGAACACCAGUGGCGAAGGCGACACACUGGGCCAUUACUGACGCUGAGGCGCGAAAGCGUGGGGAUCAAACAGG